rnacentral:lncRNA from 1 species
CGUGCCUGGCUGGAUCAGGGUGGGGCUGUAGAGCUGCACAUCAUAGUCCGCAUCCGGAUAAGCCCUGAAUCUCAGGCACUGGACAGUUACCCUGAUGGGCAGGACCCACUCCCAUCACUAACAGAACAUCAAAAGGGCAGGUGUGGGGGUGGAUAGGAAGAUCAGGAUCUCUGAAAGGAAAUUUGCAUUGUGGUAACCUACAGACUGCACCUGGACCCAUGGUUCAUGACUCAACCAGUCCACCCAGAAGCUGACUCAGAGCAUAAGGACCAUUUUCCUCACCCCUAGGAUUUCAUCUCCAGCCAAUCAGCAUUCCCCAUUCUCUAGCCCCUGUCCACCAAACCACUCUUUAAAAACCUUAGCUGUAAGCUUUCGGGGAGAUUUAUUUAAGUAAUACACUCCUGUCUUCCACUUAGCUGGUUCUGCAUUUAUUAAACUCUUUCUCUACUGCC